GCUGGGUGCGGUGGCACAUGCCUGUAAUCCCAGCAGCUCAGGAGGCUGAGACAGGAGAAUCACAAGUUCAAAGCCAGCCUCAGCAAAAAUAAGGCACUAAGCAACUCAGUGAGAACCUGUCUCUA
rnacentral:sRNA from 1 species